CAUGCAGGCGGUCGUACGCGUUUCGGGUGACAGCGGGUGGCUUAACUACCCGAGUGUUCGAAAGACGGUACGACUUGAGGGCUCGAGAGGGACACGGAAUUCCGGGUGGAGUGGUGAAAUGCGUAGAGAUCCGGAGGAACACCGAAGGCGAAGGCAGUGUCCUGGCGAGUGACUGACGCUGAGGUGCGAAAGCUAGGGGAGCGAACG
rnacentral:rRNA from 1 species